rnacentral:tRNA from 1 species
GAAUUGUUGAUGUAGGGGUAAGCGUGGUUGCCUCUCACCCAGUCGGCCUCGGUUCGAUCCCAGACAGUCCC